GAUGAACGCUGGCGGCGUGCCUAAUACAUGCAAGUCGAGCGAACAGAUGAGGAGCUUGCUCCUCUGACGUUAGCGGCGGACGGGUGAGUAACACGUGGAUACCCUACCUAUAAGACUGGGAUAACUUCGGGAAACCGGAGCUAAUACCGGAUAAUAUAUUGAACCGCAUGGUUCAAUAGUGAAAGACGGUUUUGCUGUCACUUAUAGAUGGAUCCGCGCCGCAUUAGCUAGUUGGUAAGGUAACGGCUUACCAAGGCAACGAUGCGUAGCCGACCUGAGAGGGUGAUAGGCCACACUGGAACUGAGACACGGUCCAGACUCCUACGGGAGGCAGCAGUAGGGAAUCUUCCGCAAUGGGCGAAAGCCUGACGGAGCAACGCCGCGUGAGUGAUGAAGGUCUUCGGAUCGUAAAACUCUGUUAUUAGGGAAGAACAAAUGUGUAAGUAACUAUGCACGUCUUGACGGUACCUAAUCAGAAAGCCACGGCUAACUACGUG
rnacentral:rRNA from 1 species